rnacentral:lncRNA from 1 species
AUACUGAAGGUGCCAGAAGAUUAAGUUCAUGGAGCUGCUAGUAUCUUAAACAAGUGGAUAAACAUCUGGGGGACUUAAAUAAUCCAAGUGUUCAGAAAUGCAGAGCCGAUUAUAAUUCAAACUCAGGAGGCAGUGUCUCUUCCUUGGAAUGCCCUGUUGGACAGGCUGUGUAGAGGUUGUCUAUGGCAGCCCUGUGCUGAAGAUCAUGUACCUAGAAACAGUUCAAGGAAAGGCAGUCUUUGAUGUUUUGAAUACACCUUCAUAUGUGUCUUUGAUUAUGGUAACUUUCAAAGAAGGCUUAGGCUUCUUGGAAACAUGAAACCUGAAGGAUUUCUCGGUCAGAGAGCACCUCUGUCCUGUAAAGAUACAGUUUACCUCCUGAACUUACGAAGACAAUCUAAACACCCCAUUCUCCUUCAUGCAAUUCAGAGGCAGUUUUGGCUUACAGAAGGUUAACUAAGUAGAGUCAGGCUUGCAGGCCCAUCUCUGGGUGAUGUCAGGGAUAGACAGUAUGCCUUCAUUAUGGACCAGAAUGGCGAGGAGAAACAGAAGAACACUCAGAGCCUUUUGUAGGUUGAUCCUACACUGAAACAAUAGAAACUCUGGUUCCCAGGAGAGAGGCAAAGUGAAAUGGUUGAUUACACUUCUCAAAGUUUGAGCUUGGGCCAAUAUAUAUAUAUAUAUAUAUAUAUAUAUAUANNNNNNAA